rnacentral:misc_RNA from 1 species
GUGGUGGAGCGCGCGGCCGCGCGCGGCGCAAUCGAUAACUACCGACGUUUACACAUCCAAUAUCAAACCUAUUCAAAUCUAAACUCAUAAAAUAUAGCCAUUCUAGUUAUUUAAAUAUAGUUUAUAAUAGUUGCGAAUAAUAUAUAGUUGCUGCGUGUGGACACUAUUAACAGUGCGACUAAUAAAUCGUUUAUGACGGAGUAGAUAUUACAUCCAAAUUGCCGUCAGUUGCGUUGAGUGUGAGUGAAAUUAGUAGAUGAAAGUCUUCUGAGAACAUGACGACGGCUCCAGCCCCGUCUUGCAUGAGCACCGAACAUGGCUGCGUCAUGUUCGACUGUCUCGUACAUCUUUGGGAGUGGCUUGACCCUCCCCCGUCGCAGACACCGUAUCCAAUGGAGAACAAAAAGACAGCGCCGGCGACACAACAGCCGCUCACUCAACAACAUGUCAUGGCGCAUCAUGUGCAUCCUGACCAAAUAUACACCCAGCAACAUCCGCAAAUGUCCACCCACCUUACCUCCACACAGACCGGUCAGAUUCAGCCGAAUGGCGUCAUGCACCAGUUGCUUCAAAGUCAGUAUCAUUCAAACAUGAAUGCGCGGUCGCCACUACUUGAAAAUAGACAUGAGCUGUAUGGCACAGGGCAUAAUCACGACUACGCCAGAUAUUACGGAGCCAAUGAUAAUUACAAUUAUCCUCAAUCACCACCCAGGAUAGAAAGGACAGAAGUGCAUACAGAUCAUAACGUCAAUCACGAGUUAUUUCACAACGUCCCAAAGGGAUACAACGCGGAAGUCUACCAAGACUACCUAAAACGAAACCCACCGAAAGAAACCAAUCAAAUAUACCAAAAUCAUCAACCUCUUUAUAGGCCUAAUGUUAAUCAAUACGGUUCAAAACCAUACCUUCCAUAUUCAAAUAGAAUAGGUCCACAGAGCAACACAGAACUUUUGCGACGGCAGUAUACCGAAAUCCAACAGAUGAAAUUACAACAGCAGUUACACUAUCAGAGUCAAGCACAAAUGCAUCAACAGCAAAAAUUUGCAGAGCGACAAUUGUUGCUCCAACAAAUACAUGGAGUUCAGCCGCCAGCAAAUUUACAAAAUAGCAUAUAUUCCGAUGGUUCAUACAGAGACUUUGAUCGGUAUAGUAGUAAAAACGACUUUAAGGAUUAUGCCAGUCCAGAUACCAGUGAAGAAAGGUAUGGUAAAAAUAUGGACUACAAAGAAAUGGACAGACAAAACCGACAAUACCAAGAAUCUCAGUGGCAGUUAAAUCAACAAAUGGAUUACCGAGACCAUGACUCCCAUGGAAGAUCUAUGGAAGGAGACAAAGGGAAAAGUCAGUCCCCGCCUUCAGAUUACCACAAUCAAGUACAGAAGAAUAACACUAAUGUUAUGUCACCAAUGAAGUCUAGUGAAUCAAGUACACCUAGUGUGAAAUCUCCGUCUACGGAUAGUCGAAGGAGUAGUGGCGGGAACCAGGCGUUAAGAUCUCCUACUGCACAGCGAAUUCCUUCCGCUCCUGUAGCAAUGUCCGGAAUAUUGUACAAACAAGGCUCUGAUGGACUUAAAGUUUGGAGAAAGAGGUGGUUCGUUUUGUCAGAAUACUGCUUAUUUUACUAUAAAAGUCAAGAUGAGGAAAAACUACUAGGUUCGGUGCUGCUGCCUUCAUACAAAGUGUCGGCUUGUUCAAACGAAGACAAGGUGCUAAGGAAGUUUUCCUUCAAACUAGAGCAUGCAAAUAUGAGAACGUACAUUCUUGCGGCGCCGGAUCAGGAAUCUAUGACGAAGUGGGUGAAAGCGCUGACCAUGGCCGCACUCAUGCAGACUCCUAGUGAUCCGCCACAAAAACACGGCGAUCGGGCAGCUGCUAAAACAGAGGAUGGAGAAGAAAUACCAAUGUAUGCCAAUGCACCGCCAAAGCCAAGACGUUCAAAUGAAGGUUACAACUCACCCAGUCCCGACAUGUACGAUCCCAACUACGACUUACUCAAAAAGCCAACAUUACAUUACAGUCAAGGCACUAGUCAAAACCGAUACUCGGAACACUCCAACUAUCCGAAUAAUCCCAACCAAGAAUCGACAUACACGCGGAGUCCACAGUCACCACCGCCACAGCAGCAUCACCAGUAUCCAAAACGAUCAUACGAUACGCAUAACUUAUCUCUACCACUGACUAACACCAUCAAUGAUAGAAUAGAUAAUCAACCUAGUACUUCAUCGAUGCACAAGUCUGAUCCACAGUCGCCUUGCUUUGAUAGGAGCCGGAAGCAACACGAACAGACACAGGAGAACAAACAAGAUCAGAUAUACGAACGACAGCCGCAGAGAAAUCCGUUCUUACAAGACGUGACACCGCAAAUUGAAAAUCCUCCUAAAGAGCAAAAUGUGCAAAAUAAGACUUCACGUUCUGAUAUGGAGCAAGAAAGAACUCACUCAGUUCACAAUGAAUCGUACAAUGAACCCCAAUCAGUUCCUAAACCUAUGGAUGCUGCUUAUAAUAGAGAUGUAUAUGGAGAGCUAAAUCCUAGGAUUGUGCGAGCAAAUAGUGCAGCAAACGAGCGAUUACUAAUAGAGAGGCGAACACCAGAUGCGUAUGGCAGAUCGACUGCUAUGUCUUCUUAUAAUAAAGAAAAGAUAGGUGAUUACGAAGAUGUGUACGGCUCUUGCGGUACAGAAAAUGAGUACGGGAAAACUUACGCCAAAUCGCCUAAUCCCUCUCAGACAAGGGAUAAUGUCAGUAUCUCAAGUCAUCAACAUCAAAUUUCGCAACAAAGUGCGGCUGGAAAUUAUCCUCAAGAGAAAACAUUCAGUGGACCAUCUGUUUUACGGCGGAAAAAGAUGCAAGCCAGUGGAAUACAACCGCCUAUGCCGAGGCCACACAGUGCAGACUUUUUAGAAUAUGAACAGCGAAAUGAGAUGCAUAACAAAUCAAUGCCUGCUAGAGCUGCAUUAGAUCCUCCGAGACAACCACAAAGACCUAAGUCAAGUCUCGACAUCAACUCAUAUUACGAUCCUAGUUCGGACAGAUACUAUUCAGAAGAAAGUUAUGCUGAAAAGAUGCGCCAAUCGGCUCAGUAUUUGCAACAAGGUUUAGGGCCACGGAAUAUGGAUAUUCCGUUAGCCAAAUAUGCCAGUGGCUUAGCCCAAAAGCAACUAAGUUCCGCGUAUUCACAAAUAACAAACAACAACUAUGAAACUGAAUUUAGUACUAACCGAGCGAAUCGUGACAACGUAAGUUAUAAUUCAAAGAGUGAUAUUGAAGGAUUGAAUUCUAACUGGACUUUGAAAGAAAAAGCUAUAGGAAGCCAAAAAGACUAUUUAACCAGAAGUGGCAGCGUUAUGAGCGACGGAUCUAAUGUUAGUGGUUAUAUUAAAGAAGCUAGCAGAUACGAUUUGAACCCCGAUGGCUUUAUGAGAUCCGCUAGUGCACGAUUGCCUUCCACAAAUGAAAAAGAAGGAGAAAAGAAAGUUCAACAGCGUGAAGAGUCGAUGAAGCGAUUGUUAGAAUGGAAGCAAAGAAUGUUACAGUCGCCUUUGACGAGAAAGAGCACGCCAGCCACGAUCUCACUUGCUCGAUCACUGAACCACAGCAGGCAGUCAUUGCGUUCGGAUCAAUAUAAAGCCAAGACGUACACAAACGCUUCCUAUAACAGCUACUCUUCUGAUGAUGAAGCUUCUAUGACAAUGUUAGGGACAAAUAUAGAAUCUGUUACAAAUAAUAAUUCAACAAAUCAGCAAGCAUUGUCCAAGAAAGCUUUUCUCGGAAGUAACACGUCUAUUGGGAGAAACAGUAGAGAUGCUAAUAUACCAGUGCGUGCUGUGAGCCCAAGGGUAAGGUGGGUUGAGGACAAGUCAACCAAUGAAUACAACUCGCAACAGAUGACAUCUUCACAACAAAACUUAAAUAUACUGACUGCAACUGAGGAUUCAUGGUCAACAGCCAGAUCUCCAUCAAGAGCUUCUCAACAACCUAUCAGUGCUGUGACUCCAAGAAUCCGGAGGAACACUGAAAACGAGGACUUGCAAAGACGAGCUCAGCAGCACGGGCAGAAUGAGCAAGUGGGUGAGGUUCCUACUGCUGGGGAGCUUUUGGGUCGGACGCAUGAGGAGUUGGUACUGCUUCUCAUUCAGUUGAGGAGACGUCAUGCGGCGACGUAUCGGGCAAUCGAGCAGUGUUGCGCUCAAAUUAGUAGCAUUGAGGAUUGUAUAAGUUCUUUGAAAGCAAUGGAACGAGAAGAGAGCCUGAAACGAUUGGAACAACUUAAAAUCCAGUUAAUGGAACUAGAACAUCAGUAUGAGAAGAGCAAGCCUUUAGUACAAUUGGUUGAUAACAUGGUGAAACUUGGCUCUCUCUAUAAUAGGCCGGGAUCAACAAUCGAAAGAUUAGAAAGGAAUCAAAGAUUAAGGCAGAAAGUAUUGGCUGAACACGCAUUGGAACAACAGAGAUGGUUGGAGAGUGUAGCAGCUGGCAAACCAUUGGAGACAGAAGCAGCGAGGGCGCGGGUGGCUGAACUUUGGGCGUUAGAACAAGAACUCGCUGACGAGGCUGCCAUAUUGCAGGGAUUGAAAACUGACAAAGACACUAUAGACUCUCUGCUUACUGGUGUCCGAAGCAAACUGGACACUGUCCAUAAGGCCGAACUGGGCCACGAGGGUAUCACUCAAAGGGGUCGUAGAGAGGGCGCCACCAGUAGCGGUUUGGAAGCGGAGUUGGCGCGCGUACACGCUAUGUUGGCGCACAAUUCUAAGGUUUAUAAGAAGUUGGAGCAGACAGUGGCGGACAACGCGCGGCUCGAGCGCGAGCUGCAGCAGCUGCGGCGCGCGCUGCAGGCCCGCCGCGCGCAUGCGCCCGCGCAUCCCACCGCCAUGCUUGAGGACGAAGUUACUCGAGUGCAACAGUUAGUAUCGGCUUUGCAAAGGCAGCGGCAAGAAUUGAGUCGCGCAGUCAGACAUCUGACACAGCAGUCACACGCGUUGCAGAGCACGCAUGAAGCUGCUCCUGGGAAACGACGCCCCAUGUCUUCUUGGCAAGAGACCAACCUCGACACAGGUCAUACUAUCGACCACGGGCAUUCAGAUUAUGAGGGAGACAGGCCUCUUCUACCACCAGGACAUUACGAGCCAAGCAACGUAGACAUGCCUUUAUAUGUGGACACCCGACCCGCCGGAGUUGAAGUCACCUCGCCUCUUACUAGCGAGGAUAUACAGCAUGGUGGUUUCGGAAACUUGUCUAACGUCGAGAAGCAAGAAAUCAAAACAGUCCGCAUAGUGAAGAGAGAAAGUGAGAGACGCCAGCGAGAUCGUGAACGCUCUCUCCAACCAAUGACGGAUUGGUCCAACAACAUCACAGCAAACCUCGACCAAUUCUUGGAGGAGGAGCUCGUGCAAUCCGUGAACUACUCACGAGCCUCGUCACUGCCAAGAACGGAUUACAAAUACGAUUACUAUAGAGCACAACAAGAGCAGAACUACAGAAUGAAUGAAAAGAACAUGGAACUCAGUCCCAAAUAUGUUUCAAGUCCAUCUUUGUCGAACUACGAUUACUCUAGAGACAUAUCUUCGUUAAGCAGCAGCUACCACAAAAGCUACGACAGAUCUGCAUACGAUAGAAACGUAUCACUCUCAACUCAAUACUUAAACAGCCCUACUGAUAGUUCGAGGACUUUGACUAACGACCCAAUGUCUAAAACAAGCAGUAUUGUUAGUUUGACAAGGUCUAAUAUGGAGUUGUCACCCAUAUUUAAGAGCGAGGCAGCAAAGCAGAUUAUAACUGAGGUUUCCGGUGAUACGAAGAAUGGAUCUUUGCACCGGAGGCAGGUGCCUAAAGAAAAGCGGCGGCAUUACACAGCUCCUCAUCAUUUGAGCGCGAAGACACUUAACGAGAUUCCGAAGGAUUCUUAUAAUCAAGAUAAGCUGGGCCGUUCGCUGGACGACGCGGACAUGGAGCGUGCGCUGCGCGGCGCGGCGCCGGACGUGGUGCGCUCGGCGCUGCCGGCGACGCUGCGCCGCGCCGACAACGCCAUCGACCAGCUGCUCGCCGCGCCGCAGAAGAUACUCAUACCCGAGCGGUACAUACCGGAGAAGCCACCGGAAUUGUCUCCCGAAGAACAACAGAAGAGGCAGGAGAAAGUGGAAUCCAUUAAAAAGAUGCUAACAAGUUCAUCCGCUGAUCCCACCAAGAGCCCGGACAACGACGACAAGAGACAAAGGGAGCACUUGCUGCAAAUGAACCAGAUACUCGCCAAGCAAGUAACAGAGAUGAGCAAAAUCAUUGCCGGAACCAACACAGAACAAGGACCUUCCGGCUCCAACCACUGAUUGGCCACCAACUUACAAAUUCACUUAACACGAGAUUCGCACAAUCACAUUUACAAAACGAUUUGCUUCCAAACAUAUAAACUAACACAAAUACAACAAUUAACUUGCAAGUUGGCUACUCGGACGGUCCUUAGAAGAGAUCUGCUAUCCAUUGUUGCGGCAUGGUUUCGUUUUAUGCAUUUUGUUUGAAAGCGCUAGAAGAACUGCCUCAGAACGAUCAUGCGGAUGAUCUAGACGAUCGGUCACCUGACGUCGAGCUGCCAAUAUAUCAACAAAGGGACAAUUUCUUUACAUAAACGUAUACACAUCAAUAUUAACGUGUUUGAUACCAGUAGGUACUAUAUCAGUACUAAUAUAAUUUAAGGUAAUCAGCUAAAAUGGAUCUCUCAUAUCAUGCUUCUAGAUCGUCAUCAGAGAUCCUCCACGCUGGUUAAUAGCUAUGCCCCAAAUGUUUGACCUAAUGAAAUCGUGAACUUGAACGACUCUUAAUAGAUUGGAUAAUUAAUAUGAUAUUGGAACAUGUAAUCUGCUUUAAAAAUUAAGCGAAAAAUGUAGGAUGUUCAAUUAUUAUUAGAUGAUAUUGUGUACUCGAUUAAAAUGUACCUACCUACCGUUUUUGGACUAGAUGUUGUAGUUAGGCAAGUAAUUUACUCAUGAGUAGAUAUAUUCAAUAUAUAAUAUCUGUGUAUGAACAUUCUACUUUUGUUAUUAAUAUUUUGAUCAAUACUAAACAUUUUGAAAUAAAAUGCGAGGAAUAAAAUAAUUUUAGAUGAAUAAAUGAGAUAAGCUUACUCUGCCUGAUAUAUGCUUGUAUGAUUUGUACCAUUUGGAACUAACGUUACUAUUUAAGGGACGCUUUUAUACUUAUUUGCGGCGUCAUAUACAAUAAUACAGUUCGGUAAUGCAAUAGGAAUUGAUUUCUUUAUACAACUUGCUCAAUUGUUAGGAACAUUCCAGCAAUAGGUUAAUGUUUGUUUCGGCCAGUUACAGUUUUCCCAAUAUUUAUAUAUUCUGUGACGGCCUCGAAAUGUUAUUUUAGGAUAAGAUAGGUUCUUAGACGAUGCUGCAGUUGCCAUAACUAACGAUUUGCAAAAGCACUAAUUACUUAUAGUUGUGAAAAAUCUUAAUGCGUUUUAGUAUUACAUUUUUGUAUAGUAAUGUAUAUAUUGUAUUUUUAUUUGCGUCUUUUGUACUUAUUGUUUUAAGCAAUGUAUUCGUAAUAUGUAGUUGGUCAAUUAAAUCAGAUUCAAUUUUGUAGACAAACGAAGUCAUUUAUGAUAUAGUGGUAAUGCUUCACAAUUUUCACCGUAGAAGCAACGAAUCGGUAACAUUUUGUGAUAUGAAUGUUAUAUGUUUCGAUAUCGAUAAAUUAACGUACCUCACUUGCACAUGCUUAUAGAAUUUGGUAAUUGCAUUAGGAGGUAGUUUGUGUAUUUAAUGCCUAUGAAAAGCUUUAAUUCUUGUGUACACUACAGAAAGUUGUGCAUUUGCUAUUUCGAAUUUAAAUGUAUCGAUAUUUAUCAGUAACUGUCAUUAUCGAUUUUCAUAUGGUACAGGAAAUGAGCAACGGAUCGAUGGUGCACCGUCAUAUUUUAAUCGAUUCUAAUUGUAUUUCCCAAGCCACAUAUCGAAAUAGGCAAAUGUGCCGCAUAAGUUAUUUAUCAUUGAAUAUACUUUUAUUAUGUAGGUAGUUGUUAAAUUAGUGUCGUUUCCCAAAAAUGUUUGCUAUUUUUGUACUUGUUGGCACAGAGACAGUGGCACCACCGAGUAACAGUGUUUCUUUAAAUAAGCUGGUUAAAUAUGUAGAUUAUGUUAUUUUGUUGUAUCAAGUGUGCCAUAUUUUUACAAAGUGCGUAGCAGAAUCUCGCUGCGUUUAGUAUGAAAAUAUGGAAAGUAAAGUCUUCAUGAAUAAAUAUAUUUAUUAUGUAAUGUAACCCUUAUAGAGCUUACCAAUAUAUAAUUAAAGUACAUAUAUAAAUGUAGAAAUGUACCUAUAGACUGACUUGUUUUUUGCCUUCUAUAUAUCCUUGGAUUUUUGAUUAUUUUUUUUUCUAUAGUCAAUUAUAUAUCCAUUAGACUACGUAUUUAUAAAAGGUCCUUAAAUGCUUAAAUGUGACUGGAUACUGUAACAUAUAAAGCUUCCGAAAAAUUACCGGAUUACAUUAGUCUGUAUACUAGGUAUUUCCUCUCUUUGUAUACCUUUCAAUGUAACUGACUAGAAGGCUGAAACUAUAAAUCGAUUUAAUUCUACAAACUAUAUAUAAAUAUGCCUAAAGAACUAAAGUCACAUUAUUGUUUUAUCUACCUGUUUUACAAUCUUUUAAAUUUUAUGUCUGUAUUCGUAGUAUUGAUUGUUUAUCUAAUAAACAUCCUAUUAGUGAUCCUAUAUCAAAUUGCUAUGUCAAAUAUUGUAUUUUGAUUACUUAAAUAUAAUGUAAAGUCAAUUUCCAAUUUAACUUCAAUUUAAAACCAAAUCAAAAUAACAAUUAUAUUUAUUUCACCGAUUGUACCUUAUGUUUUUUUUGUAACAUCGAUUUUAUAAGGAUUGAUGCAUAUCGAUUGUAUUAUCGAUAUAAAGCAUUUGCCCAUUGACGAUCCAGCGAACAAAACUGUUGAAUUAUGCCUUAAAUAAGUUGUUGUGUAAAUACCUACAGGGAAUUGUGCAUAUUGUUUUAUAUUCCUUCUAUCCUAUUAUACAUCUAUCCUUGUAAUUAUAGUGCAUAUGUUAUUCACAUUUGAAAUAAAUACUGUGCUAGUA